UGGAGCACGUGGUUAAUUCGAUGCAAACCGAAGAACCUUACCUGGGUUUGACAUGUGCGUGUUACUGAGGUGAAAGCCGAGGGACCAUAUCUUCGGAUGUGGAGCGUACACAGGUGCUGCAUGGCUGUCGUCAGCUCGUGUCGUGAGAUGUUGGGUUAAGUCCCGCAACGAGCGCAACCCUUAUCAUUAGUUGCUACGCAAGGGCACUCUAAUGAGACUGCCGGUGACAAACCGGAGGAAGGUGGGGAUGACGUCAAGUCCUCAUGGCCCUUAUGGGUAGGGCUUCACACGUCAUACAAUGGUCGGUACAGAGGGUUGCCAAGCCGCGAGGUGGAGCCAAUCCCAGAAAGCCGAUCGUAGUCCGGAUUGUUCUCUGCAACUCGAGAGCAUGAAGUCGGAAUCGCUAGUAAUCGCGGAUCAGCAUGUCGCGGUGAAUACGUUCCCGGGCCUU
rnacentral:rRNA from 1 species